UGGCUCAGGAUGAACGCUAGCGGCAGGCUUAACACAUGCAAGUCGAGGGGUAUAGUAGCAAUACUAGAGACCGGCGCACGGGUGCGUAACGCGUAUGCAAUCUACCUUUUGCAGAGGGAUAGCCCAGAGAAAUUUGGAUUAAUACCUCAUAGUAUAAUUGAAUGGCAUCAUUUACUUAUUAAAGUCACAACGGCAAAAGAUGAGCAUGCGUCCCAUUAGCUAGAUGGUAAGGUAACGGCUUACCAUGGCAACGAUGGGUAGGGGUCCUGAGAGGGAGAUCCCCCACACUGGUACUGAGACACGGACCAGACUCCUACGGGAGGCAGCAGUGAGGAAUAUUGGACAAUGGGCGCAAGCCUGAUCCAGCCAUGCCGCGUGCAGGAUGACGGUCCUAUGGAUUGUAAACUGCUUUUAUACGAGAAGAAACACUACUUCGUGAAGUAGCUUGACGGUAUCGUAAGAAUAAGGAUCGGCUAACUCCGUGCCAGCAGCCGCGGUAAUACGGAGGAUCCAAGCGUUAUCCGGAAUCAUUGGGUUUAAAGGGUCCGUAGGCGGUUUAGUAAGUCAGUGGUGAAAGCCCAUCGCUCAACGGUGGAACGGCCAUUGAUACUGCUAGACUUGAAUUAUUAGGAAGUAACUAGAAUAUGUAGUGUAGCGGUGAAAUGCUUAGAGAUUACAUGGAAUACCAAUUGCGAAGGCAGGUUACUACUAAUGGAUUGACGCUGAUGGACGAAAGCGUGGGUAGCGAACAGGAUUAGAUACCCUGGUAGUCCACGCCCUAAACUAUGGAUACUCGACAUAUGCGAUACACUGUAUGUGUCUGAGCGAAAGCAUUAAGUAUCCCACCUGGGAAGUACGUUCGCAGAUGAAACUCAAAGGAAUUGGCGGGGGUCGCACAGCGGUGGAGUAUGUGGU
rnacentral:rRNA from 1 species